CUGCUCCUGUCGCGAGGCGAGGCCAUGGCCGGGAGGGAGGGAGACAGAGCAGGAAUGUCAAGGGGGUGAGAGGAGCUGGGCGUCCCUCAGGAGAGAGCGAUGGGACGCUUGGGGUCCAGAGAUGAGACAUGCUCGUUCCAGGUCACUUGGAAGAUUCUGGAAGGCUGAGGCCACUGCUCUGGGCUGUCUAUCCUCAGCCUGGCGCAGGUGAACCCUUCCCUGGCCCCCUCACCCCUGGGAGCUCUGAGUCUGGCAGCCGCUCUGUGUGGUGGGGUGACCAGGCUACGGUGGACCCCAUCCUCCUAACCGCCUCCCGUCCAUCACACGGCUCUCAGUACCAGAAGCGCACCGACCCUUUCCACCUCUGCUGGAGGAACUCAGGGUGUCCUGCCCUCACCUGCUUGGGUUGCCUCCUCUGAGAAGCCCUCCCUGAACCCCAAGUCCCAAGGCCGAGGCUCCUGAGGCUCUGUAGACCUGUUUCAUCAUCUGCCACAGGGGAGAGUGACCCUGACCUGGCUGUCACCUUGUAGACUAAAGGAGGAAACCACUGUAAAUUUCCUCCUGUGUCCCCCACAUGCAGAAGGGGCCCAACAGGCGGAGUCUGCAUUUUCCUUGGCCCAGGACUGAGGGGAAGGAUGAGCCGCUGGGGGGCUGAGUGGGUAGAUGGACAGAUGGACAAAUGGAAGAAUAAAUGGACGUGUGAUUUAACGGACAAGCAGGAGGGCAGGAGGGGGGGCAGGGAGGGAUGGAGAGAGAAAGAAGAGGGGGCGGCCGGGCAGCUCGAUCAGCCCACCGCCUCUGGAGCCAGACUAGGGCUCUAUCCCAGCUCUGCCACAAUAGCUGUGUGACUUUGGUUAAGGGCAGCACCUCUCUGUGUCUCAUUUCUGUUUUUUCAUGUAUAAAAGAGAAUAUAACUGUA